ACAGGGGAAGUUUUUUUAAAUUUAAUAAUUGAAGUUAUUUUAAUUUGUGAAGAAACAAUUAUAUAAAUUAAAGACAAGAAGACCCUAAGAAUUUAAGAAUUUUUAUUAAUAUAUUAUAUGUAUAUAUAUAUAAAUAAAAUUCUUAGUUG
rnacentral:rRNA from 1 species